GGUUGUGGCUCAGUGGUAGAAUGCUCGCCUGGUGCGCGCAAGGCCCUGGAUUCGAUUCUCAGCACCA
rnacentral:tRNA from 1 species